CCCAAAGCAUCCCUACACGGACCGCACAGCCUGGCUCCUCCUUACCAACUACCUUCCAUCUUGCUUGUUAAAAGCAAAGGAUAUUUCGUCGAAUUGGAAUUCAUUAGUCUUCCUAACAGAGGGAGCCUACUUAGACCUAAAUUGGUGGUUAGCAAACGCAGAGAUAAUUCCCAUGCGUUGGUAUUUAUCUUCCCAGUUCGGCAGCGUGUCGAGACAGCUGCCUCGGCGUCUGUCGGGGAGGCUCCAGCCAGCGGAGGGGAAUACAAAGAUACGGCUUGAAUGCUUUUGCUUUUAUGGUUGGAGCCAAGAUGACCCUUAAGAGGCCGUGCUGAUGCUCCCACACCCGUGGUGGUGUUCCAAACACCCGCACUGCGAGGCAGCAGGGACGGCACCAGAAACGAGGAGCUGCAAUUGCAUGUGACACCUUCCUGAGUGCUCCUCCGCAGAUGCAAAAAAGGAAUUUUGCUCCGGCCCCGGGGGAGCUGAGCCCCGCCAGGUCAUUGGGCCGAAUCAAAUUGCCAAUGUGCAGCUCUGAAAUCUCAUCUGCGUUGUCCUGCGUGUGCAGCCGGGGCCGGGGCUGCUGACAGCCCUUGUGAUGAGCUGCUCCGCAUCCGAGAUCCAGCAGGAAACUGUAAAUGAGAUCUCAUCUCGCAUCGGCACCCGCGGCACAGCCUCGUCCUGAGCAGAAGUCAUACAAAUGAGGAUUUCACAGAAUCACAGAAUGGCCUGGGUUGGAGGGGACCUCAAGGAUCAUCAAUCUCCAACCCCCCUGUCGGGCAGGGCCACCAACCUCCCCAUUUACCAGCCCAGGCUGCCCAGGGCCCCAUCCAACCUGGCCUUGAACACCUCCAGGGAUGGACGGGGCAUCCACAGCCUCUGGGCAGCUGUUCCAGCACCUCACCACUCUCCGGGUAAAGAACUUCCCCCUAACAUCCAACCUAAAUCUUCCCUCUUUCAACUUAAAACCGUUCCCCCUUGUCCUGCUGUUAUCUCCCCUUUCAAAGAGUUGACUCCCUUCCUGUCUAUAGGCUCCCUUCAGGUACUGAAAGGCUGCAAUGAGGUCACCCUGCAGCCUUCUCUUCUCCAGGCUGAAUAAGCCCAGCUCCCUCAGCCUGUCCUCAUAGGGGAGGUGCUCCAGCCCCCUGAUCAUCUUUGUGGCCCUUCUCUGGACCGUCUCCAACAGCUCUCUGUCUUUUUUGUACUGGGGGCUCCAUACCUGGACACAGUACUCCAGAUGGGGCCUCACAAGAGCAGAGUAGAGAGGGACAAUCACCUCCCUGUCCCCGCUGGCCACCCCUCUCAUGAUGGAGCCCAGGACACCAUUUGCUUUCUGAGCUGCAAGAGCACACUGCUGGCUCACGUUAAGUUUGUCAUCCAUCAGGACCCCCAGGUCCUUCUCUGCAGAGCUGAAGGACUGUCUGAAAUAAUAAAUAAGCCCUGCGUGAUGCUUUGUGUGCUUCUCAUCUGCACUGAGCGCCCCCGCCCCGAUGUGGUGCCUUCUGCCUCCUUGCUGAGCCUCCCGGUGGCGGUGAUGGGGGAAGAGAAGCAUUUCCUCCUUGAAAGAGAGACACAGAGUCACCCUGCCUUGCAGAUCCC
ensembl:lncRNA